rnacentral:rRNA from 1 species
UACGUAGGGUGCAAGCGUUAAUCGGAAUUACUGGGCGUAAAGCGUGCGUAGACGGUUCCGUAAGUCGGGUGUGAAAGCCCCGGGCUCAACCUGGGAAUUGCAUUCGAGACUGCGAAGCUAGGGUGCGGAAGAGGGAAGCGGAAUUUCUGGUGUAGCGGUGAAAUGCGUAGAUAUCAGAAGGAACACCAGUGGCGAAAGCGGCUUCCUGGUCCAGUACCGACGUUCAGGCACGAAAGCGUGGGGAGCAAACAGG